CUGUUAUGUGAGGGCGGUGUAGCUACUGUUACAUAUGGGGUGGAGUAGCUACUGUUAUGUGGGGGCGGUGUAGCUAGGUUACAUAUGGGUUGGUGUAGCUACUCUUACAUAUGGGUUGGUGUAGCUACUGUUACAUAUGGGGUGGAGUAGCUACUGUCAUAUGGGGGGGGGGGCUAGCCAGUGUUGUGAGGAGUAGCUACUGUUAUGUGGUUUAGCUACUGUUAUAUGGGGGCUAACUACUCCUGUGAGGGUUAGCUACUGCUGUGUGGAUGAGCUAUUGCUGUUUUGGAUAGUUAGUGCUGCACUGGCUAGCUACUGCUUCUACUUCUGGUAGUUAAGGCUCUGUGGAUUACUGACUGCUACGCGAGGCAUCUAAUGCUGUAGGGGGUUUAACGACUUGUGUAGGCUAUCUCCUGUUAUGUGAAGGUUAACUAUUGCUGUGUGGAUGAGCUACUGCUACAUGGUGUGUAGGUAGAGCUGUGGAGGUUAGAUAAUGCUGUGUGCAUGAGCUACUGCUACAGGGUGUGUACAUGAGCUACUGUUACAUGGUGUGUACAUGAGCUACUGUUACAUGAUGUGUACAUGAGCUACUGCUACAUGGUGUGUACAUGAGCUACUGUUACAUGCUGUGUACAUGAACUACUGCUACAUGGUGUGUAGCUAGAGCUGUGGAGGUUAGAUAAUGCUGUGUGCAUGAGCUACUGCUACAUGGUGUGUACAUGAGCUACUGUUACAUGGUGUGUACAUGAGCUACUGUUACAUGCUGUCUACAUGAACUACUGCUACAUGGUGUGUAGCUAGAGCUAUCGAGGUUAGAUAAUGCUGUGUGCAUGAGCUACUGCUACAUGCUGUGUGCAUGAGCUACUGCUACAUGGUGUGUACAUGAGCUACUGUUACAGUGUUACAUGCUGUGUACAUGAGCUACUGUUACAGUGUUACAUGCUGUGUACAUGAGCUACUGCUACAUGCUGUGUUGAGCUACUGCUACAUGCUGUGUACAUGAGCUACUGCUACAUGUGGUAUCUACUGCUGUGUAGGCUAGCUACUGCUACAUGUGGUAUCUACUGCUAUGUAGGCUAGCUACUGCUACAUGUGGUAUCUACCGCUGUGUAGGCUAGCUACUGCUACAUGUGGUAUAUACCGCUGUGUAGGCUAGCUACUGCUACAUGUGGUAUCUACCACUGUGUAGGCUAGCUACUGCUACAUGUGGUAUCUACUGCUGCGUAGGCUAGCUACUGCUACAUGUGGUAUCUACUGCUGUGUAGGCUAGCUACUGCUACAUGUGGUAUCUACUGCUGUGUAAGCUAGUUACUAACAACUAUAUGGAGUAGCUGCUGCUGCUGUGUGGAUGAGCUAUACUGCUACAUGGUGCCUUGCUAGUGUUAUAUCAGUAGUAGUUGUUUCUCUUUGGCCUCUCCACUCCUGUGUGCAGUAGGCACUGUUGUAUGGUGUAAUCACUGCUGAAUGGGUGCUUAAUUAGUAUUGACUGUGCAGUAGCUACUGCUACUCCUAAAAUAGACUGAAUAAUCAGGUAUUGUAUGGAUUCAUGGUCAGUCAAUACAGGUGAAAUUCUCGUCUGCAAGAUGAUAGCAUCGGCUUAGAUUUGUUAGCAAGAGCCUCUCUCGUUAAUAUCAGGAGCUAUAAUAUUCGUAAAUCACAAAGUUUAUAUAUAUGUAGGUCACGUGAUAUAGAAAUGUCUUAUAAAAUGAUCUUUCUCUGACUAGACAGCAGAGCGGGUGUUCGUAAUAGUGUAUGCUGCAGGUGAAGCAAGUAGCUAGCUAGGUUCGCCCAUGUAGAUGUGAGAUAUGAGGGUAGCGUCUCAUGAUCCUCACAAUCAUGUACAUAAAAUGUACACAACAUCUGUGUUCACUACUUCACUUCUAUAUUGUUGUGUAAUUGUGCAGUUACCACUGUGUUUACUUUAGUAGAAUUGAUUUUUGUAAUAUUCCCAUGCCUACUGUUAUAAACAACAGAUGCGCCGUCUAAACGCUUUUUAUCAAAUUAAAUUCGAUCGGAAAAGGAAAUUCCGUAAGUUUGGACUACAUAUAUAUAUAUAUAUAUAUAUAUAUAUAUACUCAGUUUUGCUAUUCAUUUAUAACGUCGGACACUGGAUAAUGAUGACAGAUAUGUACAGAGUAUAUGUGUAUUUGGUAUGUACUCUUGUGGCAUAAAAAAUGUGUACAGUG
rnacentral:lncRNA from 1 species